AACGAACGCUGGCGGCGUGUUUAAGACAUGCAAGUCGCACGGGACUAUUUGAGUAGCAAUACAAGAAUAGUUUAGUGGCGCACGGGUGAGUAACACGUGAAUUACAUGCCCUGCAGAGGGGGAUAGCCCAGGGAAACUUGGAUUAAUACCCCAUGGUAUCGCGAGAUUAAAGGUGGCCGCAAGGCUGUCGCUGCAGGAUUGGUUCGCGCCCUAUCAGCUUGUUGGUGAGGUAACGGCUCACCAAGGCUACGACGGGUAACUGGUCUGAGAGGACGAUCAGGCACACUGGAACUGAGACAAGGUCCAGACACCUACGGGUAGCAGCAGUCGAGAAUAAUUCACAAUGGGGGCAACCCUGAUGGUGCAACGCCGCGUGGAGGAUGAAGGUCUUCGGAUUGUAAACUCCUGUCAUCCGGGAGUAAGACCUGGCGAUGAAUAGUCGACAGGGUUGAUAGUACCGGAAGAGGAAGGGACGGCUAACUUCGUGCCAGCCGCCGCUGUAA
rnacentral:rRNA from 1 species